UAAGAUAAAAAAAAUAGGCACACACACACAUCUGAUGUGUGUGUCGACCAGGAGAUCAAGAGAAGAAGGGGAAACCCUUGUUACAUCUAAAAUUCAGCAAUUAAAGGAAGAAAUUGAAGCUAAUCAUCUGCAUGUUCACCUCAAUCUAACUUUCUUAGCAUUCUAAACAUAAGGGAUCAAAGAAGAAAGUUCGAGUCACCCCGGAUCGCAAACGAAUAACGACAAAGGUAAAGCUACUUGAUGGAUGGCAUCAUUUGGACCGAACACACUUGUGAUGCACGCUUCCGCGAAGUUUCUAGUCAUGGUCUAAACUUUUGUUAAAUGUUCUUUUGUUAAAAAACGGGUCUUAUGUAAGUAACUUAACCCGGUGUUCUUAGGUAUUGAACUUGUAGUUAAAAUUUGUAUGGGUUGUAAACUUCUUUUUUUAACUACUUUGUUAGUUAUGUCGAAGUAAAUGUAGAAUUUUUACUUAUGAACUAUUCGACCCGUUUAGUAUUUGUCACA